AGAGUUUGAUCCUGGCUCAGGAUGAACGCUAGCGGCGUGCCUAACACAUGCAAGUCGAACGUGAGAGGGUACUUGUAUCCUUGAAAGUGGCGGACGGGUGAGUAAGACGUAGGUGACCUGCCUUGAAGAGGGGGAUAACCAUUGGAAACGAUGGCUAAUACCGCAUAGGUUGGUAAUGAUGGGAAUGUUACCAACAAAGUUUAGGCGCUUUGAGAGGGGCCUACGGCCGAUUAGUUAGUUGGUGGGGUAAUGGCCUACCAAGGCGAUGAUCGGUAGCUGGUCUGAGAGGACGAUCAGCCACACGGGAACUGAGACACGGUCCCGACUCCUACGGGGGGCAGCAGUGAGGAAUAUUCGGCAAUGGGGGGAACCCUGACCGAGCAACGCCGCGUGGAGGAAGACGGUUUUCGGAUUGUAAACUCCUUUUCUGUGGGAAGAGCAAGGACGGUACCACAGGAAUAAGUCACGGCUAACUACGUGCCAGCAGUCGCGGUAAUACGUAGGUGGCAAGCGUUAUCCGGAAUUACUGGGCGUAAAGCGCACGCAGGUGGCUUGUUAAGUCUGACGUGAAAGCUCCUGGUUUAACUGGGAGAGGUCGUUGGAGACUGGCAGGCUUGAGGCGAGGAGAGGGGUGUAGAAUUCCCGGUGUAGUGGUGGAAUGCGUAGAUAUCGGGGGGAAUACCAGUGGCGAAAGCGGCACCCUGGCCUUGGCCUGACGCUCAGGUGCGAAAGCGUGGGGAGUAAACGGGAUUAGAUACCCCGGUAGUCCACGCCAUAAACGAUGAACACUAGGUGUAGGUGGUCUUAAAACUGUCUGUACCGUAGCUAACGCGAUAAGUGUUCCGCCUGGGGAGUACGACCGCAAGGUUAAAACUCAAAGGAAUUGACGG
rnacentral:rRNA from 1 species